rnacentral:rRNA from 1 species
UGCUCCUGGAGCGGCCGAUAUCUGAUUAGCUAGUUGGUGAGGUAAAGGCUCACCAAGGCGACGAUCAGUAGCUGGUCUGAGAGGACGACCAGCCACACUGGAACUGAGACACGGUCCAGACUCCUACGGGAGGCAGCAGUGGGGAAUUUUGGACAAUGGGCGCAAGCCUGAUCCAGCAAUGCCGCGUGAGUGAAGAAGGCCUUCGGGUUGUAAAGCUCUUUUGUCAGGGAAGAAACGGUAGAGGCUAAUAUCCUUUGCUAAUGACGGUACCUGAAGAAUAAGCACCGGCUAACUACGUGCCAGCAGCCGCGGUAAUACGUAGGGUGCAAGCGUUAAUCGGAAUUACUGGGCGUAAAGCGUGCGCAGGCGGUUUUGUAAGUCUGUCGUGAAAGCCCCGGGCUCAACCUGGGAAUUGCGAUGGAGACUGCAAGGCUUGAAUCUGGCAGAGGGGGGUAGAAUUCCACGUGUAGCAGUGAAAUGCGUAGAGAUGUGGAGGAACACCGAUGGCGAAGGCAGCCCCCUGGGUCAAGAUUGACGCUCAUGCACGAAAGCGUGGGGAGCAAACAGGAUUAGAUACCCUGGUAGUCCACGCCCUAAACGAUGUCUACUAGUUGUCGGGUUUUAAUUAACUUGGUAACGCAGCUAACGCGUGAAGUAGACCGCCUGGGGAGUACGGUCGCAAGAUUAAAACUCAAAGGAAUUGACGGGGACCCGCACAAGCGGUGGAUGAUGUGGAUUAAUUCGAUGCAACGCGAAAAACCUUACCUACCCUUGACAUGUCAGGAAGUC